ACCUGGCUGGCCUAGUAGUAGAGCACGAGACUCUUGAUCUCGGGGCUGUGAGUUUGAGUCCCACGUUGGGUG
rnacentral:tRNA from 1 species